rnacentral:rRNA from 1 species
AGAGUGAACGCUGGCGGCGUGCCUAACACAUGCAAGUCGCACGAGAAAGGGACUUCGGUCCUGAGUACAGUGGCGCACGGGUGAGUAACACGUGAAUAAUCUACCUCCGAGUGGGGAAUAACUGAGAGAAAUCUUAGCUAAUACCGCAUAACACUUACGAGUCAAAGCAGCAAUGCGCUUGGAGAGGAGUUCGCGGCAGAUUAGUUAGUUGGCGGGGUAAUGGCCCACCAAGACGAUGAUCUGUAUCC